rnacentral:rRNA from 1 species
UCGAGAAUUUUUCACAAUGGGGGAAACCCUGAUGGAGCGACGCCGCGUGGAGGAUGAAGGCCUUCGGGUCGUAAACUCCUGUCAUGCGGGAACAAGAAAGUGAUAGUACCGCAAGAGGAAGAGACGGCUAACUCUGUGCCAGCAGCCGCGGUAAUACAGAGGUCUCAAGCGUUGUUCGGAUUCAUUGGGCGUAAAGGGUGCGUAGGUGGCGAUGCAAGUCUGGUGUGAAAUCUCAGGGCUUAACCUUGAAAAUGCACCGGAUACUGCGUUGCUUGAGGAUUGUAGAGGAGAGUGGAAUUCACGGUGUAGCAGUGAAAUGCGUAGAUAUCGUGAGGAAGACCAGUUGCGAAGGCGACUCUCUGGGCAACUCCUGACACUGAGGCAC